ACCAGAGCCACAGCAACGCAGGAUCCGAGCCGUGUCUGCAACCUACACCACAGCUCACGGCAACGCCGGAUCGUUAACCCACUGAGCAAGGGCAGGGACCGAACCCGCGACCUCAUGGUUCCUAGUCGGAUUCGUUAACCACUGCACCACGAUGGGAACUCCUAAUUAUUUGGCUUUUGUAUUUGUUGCAAAAAGGUCAUCACCAUCAGUCUAGGUAAGGUACACUCCCAAGUAGUUACAGUGUGUUUUUUCUCUUGUGAUGAGGUCUUCUGAGGCUAAGAGAUGUUGAGUGGUUUUCCUCAUCCGCUGCUGACCCGAGGUCAGACUUCAGGUCAGUGGGGUCUUGCUCUGACCUCUUUCCAUCAUCAGCCACAGCACAUCCUGUCAGGCCUCCUUUGCUGGGCCAGUGAGACGAGGCAACGGCAGGCAGGAGUUAAGUUUCAUGUUUUGCAUCCCAGCUCUGCCUCUUGUAACUCUGAGAUCUGGGGCAUGUUGCGUAUUCUCUUUGAGUCUAUACCUUCUCCUCUGUAAACAGGGUUAACAGGAGCAUCUUCAAAGGCUGCCUUGGGAAUUAAGACAGCUCACCCCUCCAUGCCCAGCACAGUGGCUGCUGCUCUCAAUGAACACACAAUUCCUCUGUCAGAUAUUUUCUUUUCAGAUUCCAGUUUGAAUUCAACAGAAGUAAUACUUUCUACCUCUUCGACCACACUGAUAUUACCGUUACAUAUCCUGGGGAAAGUGAAACAAAUUGGGCUAUUGCAAGUUUGGUUACUGCUUGACUUGAUCUCAAAAGGAAAACAAACAUAUCAAGUGGGAUUCUAGAUGGGAUUACAUUUUGGAGUCUAUGCCUCAUCCCCACAUCCAGUGGCUUAGUUCUGGCCUGUCUUGGUUUCCCUUCCCCUGCCAAUCGAAGUCUUUAAUGACCUGUGCUGUUUUGUCAUGGGUCCUUCUGGGAACCUCUGCUGGAUACGUGUCUGCUAAAAUGUAUAAGAGCAAGCAUUACAACUCUUUAUUUUGCUGGUUAGGUAUCCAGUUCGCACAAACCAGAUUCCACGUCAGAUUCCUCAACAGAUUUUCUCUAGAAAAUGACUUUUGGCAUCAUAAUCAGUGGCAUUUUCCCUUUUGGCUGUAUUUUUAUUCAACUCUUUUUCCUUCUGAACAGUGUUUGGAACAGUCGGAUUUUUUUCCUGCUUCUGUUUUAUUAUCAAAAUCUACAGUGUGGUGAAAGUGGAUUAAAGAAUGUCCCCAGAGGCUUCCAGGCACAUCACCCUUGCUUUUGAAUAUACAUCUGUAUCUAUAUGAACAUCUAUAAAGAUACAUAUGUAUGCUUCCAAUUGCCUGUUUUUAAUAUAUAUCAAUUGGAAAAUCUCAUUGUCUGGCCUCAGUUUGUGUAACACAACACACUGAUUGCAUGCAGAAAACCAGGUUGGGAAAUAGCUUUAUUCUAAGUCAUAUUUUCCUGAAAUGAUACUAUAAAAGGGUUUGAUUUAAAGGAAUUAGAGCAAGGGAGGCACAUUUAUUUAAGAAAUUAAAGUGCAGUGGUUUUUCAGAUGAAGAAUUUUUCUUUUUUUCUUCCUCAUUUAUUUAGAGCAUCAGAACUAUUGUCAAAUAAAUUUUAGGUAAAACGUGAACUUUUUUUUUUU
rnacentral:lncRNA from 1 species